rnacentral:sRNA from 2 species
CCAUAAAUCUGGCCGAAUCCCUGACAAUGUACAGGGUACGGGGGAAAAAUUUAAGCGGGGUGAAUCUGCUGCCUGUCCAAGUGAGGUGAAUUCGUCAAGGCGCGGUAGGGUGUCUCCCAUCCGAACCCAUCAACUAACUUCGGAGGCCAUACGGGAGGACUG